GUUUGUAAGUAGAAAACAUCCAUUUGUUGGAACAGAUGUGGCGAGUAGCCCCAGUGUCCACGUACCACUCUUUAGGGUUUCCUACCAAGUUACAUUCAGAUAUAACUGCACAAAGAUUCAUGUCUGAAACAUCUUCAGAAAGCUUUUCCAGUUCUGUCACAUUUGCUUGAGGCUUUUGUUCUUUCUUCAACUUCUUUGGCUUUCGACAUUCA
rnacentral:lncRNA from 1 species